AACGAACGCUGGCGGCGUGCCUAACACAUGCAAGUCGUGCGGGAAAGUUCCUUCGGGAGCGAGUAAAGCGGCGCACGGGUGAGUAACACGUAGGUAACCUGCCCCCCAGUCUGGAACAACUAGAGGAAACUCUAGCUAAUGCCGGAUGAGACCACGAUCCCUUCGGGGGUUGCGGCCAAAGAUGGCCUCUACUUGUAAGCUAUCGCUGAGGGAUGGGCCUGCGGGCCAUUAGCUUGUUGGUGAGGUAACGGCUCACCAAAGCUGUGAUGGCUAGCUGGUCUGAGAGGAUGACCAGCCACACUGGGACUGAGACACGGCCCAGACUCCUACGGGAGGCAGCAGUGGGGAAUAUUGCGCAAUGGGCGAAAGCCUGUCGCAGCGACGCCGCGUGGGUGAUGAAGGCCU
rnacentral:rRNA from 1 species